rnacentral:rRNA from 1 species
GAUGAACGCUGGCGGCGUGCUUAACACAUGCAAGUCGAGCGAAACACUUUGGUCAGCUUCUUCGGAUGAUUUACUUUGUGAGUGAUCGGCGGACGGGUGAGUAACCCCUCGGUAACCUGCCUCAUACAGGGGGAUAACUGUUAGAAAUGACUGCUAAUACCGCAUAAGACUACGGUACCUCAUGGUACAGUGGUGAAACCUCCGGUGGUAUGCGAUGGACCCGCGUAGGAUUAGGUAGUUGGUGGGGUAACGGCCUACCAAGCCGACGAGCAGGAGCCGAACGGUGAGGGGGAACAGAGAGACUGGGACUGAGACCAGGCCCAGACUCGUACGGGAGGCAGGAGUGGGGAAUAUUGCAGAAUGGAGGAAACGCUGAGGCAGCGAGGACGGGAGAAGGAGGAAGUAUUUGGGGACGCAAACUGCUAGCAACAGGGAAGAAAAUGACGGUACCUGACUAAGAAGCCCCGGCUAACUACGUG